AGGAGGGGUAGCCGGGGGGCUCCAGGCGCCGGACUGCCCCCUGCCCGCGGGGCCGCCCGCCCGGGAGCGCAGGUGUCGCCCGCGGUGCUUCUGAGGGGGUCUGGCGGGACCCCCCUCACUGCCGGGGUCCUCUUCGCCCAGAUCCGGAGCUAGGAGGCCCCCAGGGCUGUGUGUUCGCUAAGGAGCACUCCAGGCCUCCCAGCUGCAGCGCGUUUUGCUGCAAAGCCUGAGAAGCACGUCUCCCACUUGCCAGGUGCAACUCACCUGCGGGCGGGCCUUCUGAGCAGGUCUGCGCCGUAGGGUCUGCACCCGGCAAUCUGGACUAAUUAGUGGCUUAACCUCUCUGAACCGACCUCACCUGUGAAUGGAGGUGGUCGUUAACAAAAAAAAGACAAGACAAAUUUUUGAGGGAUUAAUAUGUGCCACUUUGUGUUCUAAGUGCUUUGCAUAUAUUAAUUCAUUUACUCUCCGCAACAGCCAUGUUUUCGGCUUCAUUUUGCAGGCAGGGAACUGACUGAAAAAGAGGUUUAAGAAACUUGCUAGAGAUCACAUAACCGGUAACUGUCAGGCCUGCUUCUGAAAGUAUCAAGUUUGGAGACACUUGGCGCAGUGCCUGGCGUGUAGUAAUUGCUCAAUUUACAGAGAGUUGCAAGAAGACUACGAGAGUUCCUGUAUACCCUUUACAUGGCUUCCUUUAAGGUUAGCAUCUGAAGAAAACAUGGCACAAUGACCAAAAUUUUAAAAAUUAACAUCAAUUCAAUACUAUUUACUAAUUUAAGACCUCAAUCAAAUUUUGUAACCUAUUUUUCUCACGUACUUUUUCUGGCCCAGGAAGUCAUCCAGGAUCCACAUUGCAUCUAGUUUUUCUGUCCAAUUUCUUCUACAGUUGAUGACAGUUCCUCAGUCUCUGUCUUUUAUGACAUUGACAGAUGCUUUCAACUUCUUAAUGUGGGGUCUCUCUCAUUCACCUACUUCCUCAGACCACCCGGAACAGCACGUCACAUCAUAUAGAUACAGAUACAGAUGUAGAUACUGAAUGCAAACAUGAAUGCCAACUGGUAGGUAUUACACAGGAAUCUAUGGCACAGGUUUAAAAAUCCAUGGUUUUUCCCCUGGUCGCUGUCAGUCAAAGCGAGCAGUCAUGAUACUUGGCCUCACCUGCAAUCUGGUGAUGUUGCUGACUCAUCCUUAAAUGCAGGUGUGAUAAAGUCCUCCUGAUCCGCAUCCUUAAUAACUUUAAUCUCCAUCCACAACAUCUACAUCUAGGGGUGGGACAGAGCCUCCAAGCACCACAUCCCCCAAUAAAAAAUAAAAGCCCACAUAUCCAUCCUGGGGCCACAUCACUGUUCAUAAGGUGCCAAGGAUGCUCUUACUUUGGCUUUCUAAUCUCUGACCUCUGAGUUCCUUGGGGGCCCAGGAUGGCAUUUCUUUCAUCUUGGAAUCUCAGUGCCCAGUACAGUGGUGCCCGCCCCCAAGAAGGUGCUCAAUACCCAAAGGCUGAAUAGAUAAAGAAGUGGUUGAAUUUUAUCUCCAAGGCUGGGCUUUAUCUCUGACUGCCAAGCUUUGUGAUUCUAUGAAUAUCAGCUGAGGUUCAAAUUGGGCACCUCUCCCCAAAGUCAUACACUUACCUAUUAUUAUUCAACAGCAUCUACUCUGACAGCAUAGAAUGCCAGGCCCUGUACACGGUGCUGAGAAUGCAGACGCGGAUGAUACAGCUUCCACCCUCUCAGGGGAGAAGCCACACCUGUACACAAACAUAACUGAGGUGCCGUAGAGGCUGUAACAAGUGUCAUGAGCAGGCACGGGGAGGCAGAGAGCAGGGCAGGCUCAGCUUCACCUGGGGAGGUCAGGGCUGGCUCCUGAGGAGGAAACAGGGUCUCGGAGAAGGAGUAGGACUUCACCAGGGGAAGAACAAAAGCAACAGCACUCUGGGCAGGUGGAGCAACAUGUGAAAGUGAAGAGGGGACCUGAGAACUGUAGGCAGGUGUUUUGCCCUAAGUAGAGUGCAGGGUUUGCAGGCAGGGAUGGAAGAUGAGGCCGGAGAGGCGGGUGGGGUGAGAUCCUUAGACAGUGGAGAAUCCCCAAAGGGUCAUAAGCUGGAGGAGACAAGACCAGCUUUCCAGUGAGCAAGAUCAUUCUAGCUGCAGUGGACUGAAGGCUCGGGGGUCAGAUGCGAGACUGGAGGUGAGCACAGUGCUUUGGGAGGCUAAGGCUCCUGUCCCUGAAGGGCCUGAGCUCAGACAAUGGCGGUGGGAAAAAAGAGGAGGGGCUGUAAGCAGCUCCUUUGCCUGUUUUUUGUUUGUUCAUCCCUAUUUUCGUUAGACCUUAACCAUAAAGAUGAGAUCGUUAGGCAACAUUUAACUAAGUUCCUGAUUUCUGCUUUUCUAAACAUACACAAGGCCUUACCUAACCUGUUGAUUCCUUUCCUGGAUUAGAAGGAAUAAGAAUGAAGAAUUAAGUAGCUAAAGAAUGACUAAAAAAAAAAAAAAAAAAAAGAAUGACUGACUCUCUACCCCCAGCUUCCCCUUAGUAAAUUUGCAGGUGGACCACGAGGGCAAGAGAACUUCCAAUUGCAGACGGAUCACGUGAGCAAGACAGAGUCCCAAGGAAGAUGGGGAGAAAUCAGCAGGCCUGCAUGUAAUGGAAAGAUGACGGAGAAUCUGACCUCCUGCCUUAAUGAUUAACUGAGAUUGUUUCCCCUUUAAAAAUUGUCAUGGCUGAACAGAAUCUUUGGAGUUGGUCUCUAGAUACAAGUCCACUUUCUCCCCAGAUUGCCGGCUUUUCUGAAUAAAGCAUCUUUCUUCUCUGCGAA